rnacentral:misc_RNA from 1 species
GCAUACUGCUGAGCCAACACUAUUUUGAAGCUCGGUUGAAGUACCAUUUCCUUUGACCAGUUUUAUUACAUCCUGUAAAUCUGUAGUAUUUAAAUGAUCACUUCCCCUAGCAACAAAGGGAAAUAAUUGGACCUCACAGGCAAGAGCACAAACAGCAGCCAGGACAUAAGAAUCAAAUGCAGAAACAGGACCUUGCUUUUUA